GAUGAACGCUGGCGGCGUGCCUAAUACAUGCAAGUCGAGCGAACAGACGAGGAGCUUGCUCCUCUGACGUUAGCGGCGGACGGGUGAGUAACACGUGGAUCACCUACCUAUAAGACUGGGAUAACUUCGGGAAACCGGAGCUAAUUCCGGUUUAUAUAUUGAACCGCAUGGUUCAAUAGUGAAAGACGGUUUUGCUGUAACUUAUAGAUGGAUCCGCGCUGCAUUAGCUAGUUGGUAAGGUAACGGAUUACCAAGGCGACGAUGCGUAGCCGAGCGGUGAGGAUGGUGAGCUACACUGGAACUGAGACACGGUCCAGACUACAACGGUAGGCAGCAGAGGGGUAUCGUCCGCUAGGGGCGAAAGCCUGGCGGGGCAACGCCGCGUGAGUUAUGAAGGUCUGGUGAUCUGAAAACUCUGCUAUUAGUGAAAAGCAAAUGUGUAAGUAACUAUGCACGUCAUGACGGUACCUAAUCAGAAAGCCACGGCUAACUACGUG
rnacentral:rRNA from 1 species